rnacentral:rRNA from 1 species
UACAGAGGGGGCAAGCGUUGUUCGGAAUUACUGGGCGUAAAGGGCGCGUAGGCGGCCAACUAAGUCGGACGUGAAAUCCCCGGGCUCAACCCGGGAACUGCGUCCGAUACUGGAUGGCUUGAAUCCGGGAGAGGGAUGUGGAAUUCCAGGUGUAGCGGUGAAAUUCGUAGAUAUCGGGGGGAACACCGGUGGCGAAGGCGGCGACCUGGGUCGAGACUGACGCUGAGGCGCGAAAGCGUGGGGAGCAAACAGG